AAUGGAUUAUAUAAAUCUUUAAAGAUCCAAAAUAUAAAAUGUCUUAUUAAAAUAAAAAAAAAUUGCCACAUUUACGGGGGAUCAUCAGUCGUUUUCCAUUUUAUUGGCCAGAUUUUUAACCUUUCUUGGACUGCGGUUCAAAUUUUCUGAGACAAUUUGGGUUUUUCGUGAUCUUUAAGUUAUAAUCAUCAACAUGUUAAGAAAUGAAAGGGAUUGAAACAUUUCAUUAAAUGUGUUGUAAUUCUGCAUGAUAUGAUUUUCACUUUUUGAAAUGAGUGACAAAAGCUGUUGAACUUUUAGACAAUAUUACAUUUGGAAAUGUACCUGUAGAUUUAAAUAUUACAGUUUGGUCUAAUCCAACUUCGACAUGCUCCCUUCGUGGCAUGUAGGAAACUGUAAACUGGUUUCAUUGGGUUCUCAGCAGUCUCUCUCUUCUUGCUUCUCUUGCAUUCAGAACAUCUCUCUGGCGUCUCCGUAACAGCCUCAGGACGAGGCACAAGGGUGUGGACCUUUACUGGACUGUGGCAAUCAGGUUGAGAGAAGAUAAGGAGAAAAAAAAAAACCUCUCUGGUCCACCCCAGAUGUCAUCACGGUAUGCUAAUGAGCUGAGGGGGGGGCAACCUUUUAAGUGCUGGAGCCCAACAGACUGAGCAGUUAGGAGACAUGGACCAGACGUGAACACUUGUAGUGAAGACGUCUAACGACAAGGGGCAAACAGACUCCAGACGAGCCAUGGACAAGCUGCUUGGUGGUUCUGUCUUGUGCCCUGGACAGGAUAUCAUCUUAUACUGUAAGUUUUUUAAAGAGACACUACAGUAUAGAUGAUGUACUAUCCAGGGUAUCAUUCCACCUCCGCCGGCGCCGGAGGAGACUCGGGCUGAAACGUCAGUAGGCCGAACACACAGCCGAGGGGGGCAGUUAAACCGUUACCAUUACUGAGUUUUAGUAAUGGUAAGGGUUCUACGGCCUUCACUCAAUGUCGACGAAGGAAAGGACGAGCUGGAGCAUUGUUACAUUUAAACCAAUAAUGUCAAAUAAAAAUGAUGGCUGUCUUCCUUA